rfam:Nelumbo nucifera unplaced genomic scaffold scaffold00227, whole genome shotgun sequence
GGGUGUCUUCAUACCAGCACUAAGGCAUCGGAUCCCAUUAAAACUCCGAAGUUAAGCAUGCUUGGGUGAGAGUAGCACUGGGAUGGUUGACCUCCUGGAAAGUCCUCGUUUUGCACCCC